AUGCUGUUAAUUGCUCACCACAAUCAAUCAAGAGGCACUCAUGUGGGAGCAUUUUCUUUUUCUGCCAAGAGGAACUGUCUCCCAUGGGCCACACGACAGGUAACAUUUUAUCUCACUCCCAUCCUAUUUCCCAUAAAUACUGUAACUACACUUUCAAACUGGCCCUCAAUGUGUGUGGAUUUUCUUUUCUUAAAUUUGGCAGCCCAGGUUAAACAUGUUAAAUCCUGGACACCCAUAUCCAAAGUAUGAUUAAAACUUUUUUUUUCGUCAGUAUGGCUGAAACUUUAUUUUUUGCUUCAAGGUCAUGUAAAUGCAGCUCUUCCCUCCUUCUGGUAAAGAAUGUUGCAGCAUCUUUCAAUGAGGAGAUUCACCUGCAAAUCCCUUUGAUUAGUGAAAGCAGCUGUUCUCCAACUUUGACAUCUCUAAGUUUGAUGAUGGAAACUAAUAGACAUACAGAGACCCAGGUUUGUUGAAGUAGUAUUAGAGUCUGAAUGUUCGUGUCUUUAACACAUUUUCUAGGUGGCCCUGAUAGACAACUUCCUGUAAGAAACUGGGAUUGAAGCAUUAUUCUCCAAGUUGGCUGCUCCUUGGAAUCUUUGGGGAUUUUAGAACUACUGAUGGCUGAGCACUCGUAGCGAUUUUAAUUUAACAAGUAUGGGCUGGAGACUUGGUGUUGCAAGUUUUUUAUCCUCCAUUUCUUUGCCGAGACUUUGCUUUUUCACUUAUGUCAAGCAUAUUCAUAAUCGCUUGUGGAAGCACCCUUAUAAAGGCCAGUUUAAAAUCCUUGUCAGUUAACUCUAAUGUGCUUUUCAUAUUAGUGUUGGCAUCUGUUGAUUGUCUUUUCUCAUUUAUGUUGAGAUUUUCCUGUUUCCUAAAGGAUGAAUGAUUUUUUAUUGAAACCUGGGCUUUUGGGGUUUUAUGUUAUGAGAUUCUGGAUCUUAAUUUUUCUGUAUUAGCAGGACUCCUUUGCCUGUGGCGGGGGCGGGGGGAGGGGAAGCACUACUUCAUUACUGACAGGUUGAGGUGGAAAUCUAGAUUAUUUAUUGGCCUCAGCUGAUACCACUGUGGGGGUGGCGGGGGGAGUGGGAAGGAGAGCCUCAUUACUAUCACUCACGUGGCCUCCACUGAUGCCCUGCCUUUUUAAUGGCUGAGUGGUGGUGAAAGUUCUGAGAUUCCACUAGUCUUCCUCUGAUAUCCUGGCAUACCAGCUUUCCAUUCAGCGCUCUCUGAUACCAGGAAGAUGGUAAGG
ensembl:lncRNA